ACUAUCUUUAAAUGACAUUGCAACUUGAGGCUCAAAUUUGAUGAUCCUGGAAAACUUGAAAUGUAGUGCCCUGUUUUGAGAUUAAACUAUGGCUGCAAGUAAUUUGUAGAAAGCUGGCCUCCUGAUAGACUUGAAGAAGAAGAAAGAAAAAGAAAGAGGAAACAAAUUAAAGUUGUUCUGUCAGGCUUUGCUGGGCUCUAGAAAUCUUAAUUUAUAAUGAAAUAGGAGGUGAACUAAGAGGAGUACAAUGAGAAAAUAGGAAUGGGAAAAAAUUGACCAGGGACAGUGAAUAAACUGCUUACAUUAUCUUACAUCAGAAUUCAAGAGUCUCCAACAUUUUCAUUUGCUAAAUUCUCUCUUUUGUAUUUACUCUGAUAGUUUUACAAUUGUGGUAAUAUUAUAGAUGUAGUCUAGUUGUUAACAUUUGAAGGUAAUAGUAUCUCUAACCUGGGUCGGGUAGUAGUUUAUUAAAAUAUUUUCUCCUCAUUAAGCUGUGAGGUGUUAUCAAAUGGAAUAAGUAUUUGACUUUUCAGUGUGACCACACGAUAUAUGUGUUACAUAGGUUUGUCUUAAGAUGGAAACAUCAGAAAACCUGACUAAGAUCCAUCAGGAUUGAUGGGGUUUACUUUUUCUAGACAGUAAUAAGUCUGAAGGUAGGUGGUUCUGAGCAUUUAGGGGGGAAGACAUGUGAACUCUCUUUCCUGGUGGCAAGUAGCAAUCCUGGCUUAAUCAAGUUUAUACUCAAGGCAGAAAGAAGAAAGAAUGGAUGACAAAAGCUUCCCCAGAACCCACAUGUGGAGUUCUCCUAUGUCUCAUUAGCCAGAACUGGGCUUAUGUUGGUAAGCCCUAGCUGAAACAGAAACCAGGAAAGUGAGGAAUUAGUUUUUCCGCUUGUAUUGUGGAAGGUGAAAGGAAUGGUGGUUAGGAGAGGGUUACAGAGUUAGCAAGCCAAGAGGUGUAAUACCAAUGUGUAAGUAGGAUGUAUAAAUAUUAAGUCUAAGAAAACAAACUUUACUAGAACAUACCAAGAAGGACUAAUUAAUCAUCAUGGCUACCCAGAGCUGAAACAGGCUCCCCAGUAGGUAAUUCAUUCUCUAUCAGAGCGUAUGUUUAAACAUCGGUGAAUGAGCAUACUAUGGAGAAGAUUUAAACAUUAGAUAGAUAAGUGGUUGAACUUUAUGUCUUUAAGGUUGUCUUCAAUCCUCAGGAUUUGAAGAUACUCUGUAAACCUUCUAAUUGCUUGCAAUUUGAAAAUUGUUUUUUCUUUGUGGUUGACUUUUCUGUCAUGUCCACUGGAAUAAAUCUGGUUUACUUUUAUCUUAACAUUAAUAUCCAACAGUGAGAUAUCUAGUGUCUACAAAAAAAAGUGUAUUUAUCUUGAAACCAAUAAGAACAAAGACACAACAUUCCCGAAUCUC